rnacentral:rRNA from 1 species
AUUGAACGCUGGCGGCAGGCCUAACACAUGCAAGUCGAACGGUAACAGAAAGCAGCUUGCUGCUUUGCUGACGAGUGGCGGACGGGUGAGUAAUGUCUGGGAAACUGCCUGAUGGAGGGGGAUAACUACUGGAAACGGUAGCUAAUACCGCAUAACGUCGCAAGACCAAAGAGGGGGACCUUCGGGCCUCUUGCCAUCGGAUGUGCCCAGAUGGGAUUAGCUAGUAGGUGGGGUAAAGGCUCACCUAGGCGACGAUCCCUAGCUGGUCUGAGAGGAUGACCAGCCACACUGGAACUGAGACACGGUCCAGAUUCCUACGGGAGGCAGCAGUGGGGAAUAUUGCACAAUGGGCGCAAGCCUGAUGCAGCCAUGCCGCGUGUAUGAAGAAGGCCUUCGGGUUGUAAAGUACUUUCAGCGGGGAGGAAGGGAGUAAAGUUAAUACCUUUGCUCAUUGACGUUACCCGCAGAAGAAGCACCGGCUAACUCCGUG